UACAGAGGUCUCAAGCGUUGUUCGGAUUCAUUGGGCGUAAAGGGUGCGUAGGUGGCGCGCUAAGUCGGGUGUGAAAUCCCUCGGCUUAACCGGGGAACUGCGUCUGAUACUGGAUGGCUUGAGUUCGGGAGAGGGAUGCGGAAUUCCAGGUGUAGCGGUGAAAUGCGUAGAUAUCUGGAGGAACACCGGUGGCGAAGGCGGCAUCCUGGACCGACACUGACACUGAGGAGCGAAAGCCAGGGGAGCAAACGGG
rnacentral:rRNA from 1 species